UACGUAGGGGGCUAGCGUUGUCCGGAAUCAUUGGGCGUAAAGAGCGUGUAGGCGGUCCGGUAAGUCCGCUGUGAAAGUCGGGGGCUCAACCCUCGAAUGCCGGUGGAUACUGUCGGGCUUGAGUACGGAAGAGGCGAGUGGAAUUCCUGGUGUAGCGGUGAAAUGCGCAGAUAUCAGGAGGAACACCAAUUGCGAAGGCAGCUCGCUGGGACGUUACUGACGCUGAGGCGCGAAAGCGUGGGGAGCAAACAGG
rnacentral:rRNA from 1 species